rnacentral:rRNA from 1 species
AACGAACGCUGGCGGCAUGCCUAACACAUGCAAGUCGAACGAGACCUUCGGGUCUAGUGGCGCACGGGUGCGUAACGCGUGGGAACCUGCCCUUAGGUUCGGAAUAACUCCCCGAAAGGGGUGCUAAUACCGGAUAAUGUCUUCGGACCAAAGAAUUAUCGCCUUUGGAUGGGCCCGCGUUGGAUUAGCUGGUUGGUAGGGAAAAAGCCUACCAAGGCGACGAUCCAUAGCUGGUCUGAGAGGAUGAUCAGCCACACUGGGACUGAGACACGGCCCAGAAUCCUACGGAAGGCAGGAGAGGGGAAUAUUGCACAACGGGCGAAAGCCAGAUCCAGCAAUGCCGCGUGAGUGAUGAAGGCCUUAGGGUUGUAAAGUUCUUUUACCCGGGACGAUAAUGACAGUACCGGGAGAAUAAGCCCCGGCUAACUCCGUG